rnacentral:rRNA from 1 species
AUUGAACGCUGGCGGCCGGCCUAACACAUGCAAGUCGAACGAGUGGCGGACGGGUGAGUAAUGUCUGGGAAACUGCCUGAUGGCGGGGGAUAACUACUGGAAACGGUAGCUAAUACCGCCUACCAUCAGCUGUGCCCAGAUGGGAUUAGCUAGUUGGUGGGGUAACGGCUCACCAAGGCGACGAUCCCUAGCUGGUCUGAGAGGAUGACCAGCCACACUGGAACUGAGACAAGGUCCAGAGUCCGAGGCGAGGAAGCAGUGGGGAAUAUUGCAAAAGGGGCGCAAGCCUGAUGCAGCGAUGCCGCGUGUAUGAAGAAGGCCUUCGGGUUGUAAAGUACUUUCAGCGGGGAGGCGUUACCCGCAGAAGAAGCACCGGCUAACUCCGUGCCAGCAGCCGCGGUAAUUC